GCCGGAGUGGUGGAACUGGCAGACGCGCCGGACUCAAAAUCCGGUGGAGCUCUAAACUCCGUGAGGGUUCAAAUCCCUCCUCCGGCA
rnacentral:tRNA from 1 species